GAAAUCUGGCUACUUCGUAGUCCGAGUUGUAAUUUGUAGAGGAUGCUUUUGGUGAAGUGCUUUCUGAGUUCCCUGGAACGGGACGCCAGAGAGGGUGAGAGCCCCGUACAGUUAGCAACUGAUCCUUUGUAUAGCUCCUUCGACGAGUCGAGUAGUUUGGGAAUGCUGCUCUAAAUGGGAGGUAUAUCUCUUCUAAAGCUAAAUAUAGGCUAGAGACCGAUAGCGCACAAGUAGAGUGAUCGAAAGAUGAAAAGCACUUUGAAAAGAGAGUUAAACAGCACGUGAAAUUGUUGAAAGGGAAGCGCCUAUGACCAGACUUGUCUCUAUCAGUUUUGGUAGUUUUCGGACUGCUUUACUCUGUUAGUACAGGCCAACAUCAGUUUGUUGUCGGGGAGAAAGGCUUAGGGAAUGUGGCUCCUUCGGGAGUGUUAUAGCCCUUUGCAUAAUACCCUUCGGCAGACUGAGGACCGCGCUUCGCAAGGAUGUUGGCGUAAUGGUCAUCAGCGACCCGUCUUGAAACACGGACCAAGGAGUCAACCUUAUAUGCGAGUGUUUGGGUGUAAAACCCCAGCGCGUAAUGAACGUGAACGUAGGUGAGAGCUUCGGCGCAUCAUCGACCGAUUCUGAUGUUCUCGGAUGGAUUUGAGUAAGAGCAUAUAGGGUUGGACCCGAAAGAAGGUGAACUAUGCUUGUAUAGGGUGAAGCCAGAGGAAACUCUGGUGGAGGCUCGCAGCGGUUCUGACGUGCAAAUCGAUCGUCAAAUAUGAGCAUGGGGGCGAAAGACUAAUCGAACCUUCUAGUAGCUGGUUCCAGCCGAAGUUUCCCUCAGGAUAGCAGUGUUGAACUUCAGUUUUAUGAGGUAAAGCGAAUGAUUAGGGACUCGGGGGCGCUAUAUUGCCUUCAUCCAUUCUCAAACUUUAAAUAUGUAAGAAGCU
rnacentral:rRNA from 1 species